rnacentral:rRNA from 1 species
UCCGUAGGUGGAUAAUUAAGUCAGAGGUGAAAUCCUGCAGCUCAACUGUAGAAUUGCCUUUGGUACUGGUUAUCUUGAGUCAUUAUGAAGUGGCUAGAAUGUGUAGUGUAGCGGUGAAAUGCAUAGAUAUUACACAGAAUACCGAUUGCGAAGGCAGAUCACUAAUAAUGUACUGACACUGAGGGACGAAAGCGUGGGGAGCGAACAGGAUUAGAUACCCUGGUAGUCC